rnacentral:rRNA from 1 species
GGUUAAAUAUUUAUUAGAAAAGUGAAAUUAUUUUAAUUAGUUUAUUUAUUAUUAGUAUUAUUAGAAAUUAUUUAUAUAUUUUAUUACUGCAAAGGAUAAGUUAUAUAGUUAAUAAGAAUUAUUUGUUAGUACCUUUUGUAUCAGGGUAAAUUGAUUAAUUUAAUUAUAUUUAUUAUCCCGAAUGAAAAAGUUCAAGUUUUGUAAUACUAUAUUUGUGUCAAAAGAUUUUAUAAUACAUUAUUAGUAAUUAUAUGUUAUUCGUUUUUUAUAUAUCUGGUUAUUAAGUAAUAAAAUUUAAUUUUUCACUUUUUUAUAAAGUUUUGAUUGAUAAAUUUAAGAGUGUUAAUUUAUUGGGGAUAAUCUUGGUAAUAUAUUAUUAUUACUUGUAUAUUUUAUUGAUUUCUUUACUUUUAAAUUUUGUAUUAAGUUUAUAUUAAAUUAAUUAAUUUUAAUAUGAUUUUUUUAGGUAUAUUUUUAUAUUUAAUUUUUAGGUUUAAUAUAUAUACUUAUAGAUAAUGAUUUAAUUAGUAUAAUUAAAUAAUUUUAAGAUAAUGAAUUCGACAAAAUUAUUUUCCAACUGUUUAUCAAAAACAUUUCUUUUUGAUUAUAUAAAAAGUAUCUUCUGCCCUAUGGUUUAAAAUUAAAUGGCUGCAGUAUUUUGACUGUGCAAAGGUAGCAUAGUAAUUAGUUUCUUAAUUAGGAGCUCGUAUGAAUGGGUGUAUGAGAAAUUUAUUUUAUUUCUUUAAAAAUUAGAAUUUAAAUUUAAAGUUAAAAUGCUUUAGUUAUUUAUUGGGACGAUAAGACCCUAUAGAACUUUAUAUAAAAUUUAUAUAAUUUAAUUUUAUUUUACUAUUAUAUUAUAUAGAUUUAUUUUUUGCUGGGGUGGUGGUUAAAUAUAAACUUUAGUUUUUUAUAUCAUUUAUUUGUGAGAAAUAUCAGACCCCCUAGAGAGAGGGAUCAUAAGAUUAAGUUACCUUAGGGAUAACAGCGUAAUUUUGAUGGGGAGUUCAUAUCUAUAUUAUAUUUUGCGACCUCGAUGUUGAAUUAAGAAUAUUAUAGGAAGCAGCAUUCUUAAUAUAUAAGUCUGUUCGACUUUUAAAUUCUUACAUGAUUUGAGUUCAAACCGGCGUAAGCCAGGUUGGUUUCUAUCUGAUAAAAAAUAUUAUUAUAUUUAGUACGAAAGGACCAAUAUAAGUCACUUUUUGUGGAAUUAUAUA